rnacentral:rRNA from 1 species
GGAUUAGAUACCCUGGUAGUCCACGCUGUAAACGAUGUCUACUUGGAGGCUGUUGUCAUGAACAGUGGCUUUCGAAGCUAACGCGAUAAGUAGACCGCCUGGGGAGUACGGUCGCAAGAUUAAAACUCAAAUGAAUUGACGGGGGCCCGCACAAGCGGUGGAGCAUGUGGUUUAAUUCGAUGCAACGCGAAGAACCUUACCUACUCUUGACAUCCAGAGAAGCUUGAAGAGAUUCGAGUGUGCCUUCGGGAGCUCUGAGACAGGUGCUGCAUGGCUGUCGUCAGCUCGUGCCG